UGAUAUUAUAUUUAUUUUGCAUUAGGAUAUGUAUGAUAAAGAAAAAUUUUAACUAUUUUUGACUGUUGAUAAAUUUAUUGUUUUUAUUUUUAUUUUGAAGCUGCCUGAAAAAACUAUAAUGGACUACUAUGAGAAGUAUAAGCCUAGAAUGAAUGAGCUGGAAGCUUUUAAUAUGUUAAAAGUCGUUUUGGCUCCUUGUAUAGAGACAUUGAUUCUUCUGGAUCGACUUUGCUACCUGAAAGAGCAGGAAGAUAUUGCAUGGUCUGCACUUGUGAAGUUAUUUGAUCCUGUGAAAUCUCCCAGAUGUUACGCUGUUAUUGCUCUGAAGAAGCAGCAGUGA
rnacentral:lncRNA from 1 species